AUAUGAUCUAACCCGGGUCGACUUCUCCAAAUAGAACAGACACAUACAGAGUGAGAGGAUCCGACAGAAAUUGGAAAGAUGGCGGUGAUGCAGAAGCUGAAGAUGUUCGUGGUGCAAGAGCCUGUUGUGGCAGCUUCUUGCCUCAUCGCCGGCGUUGGACUCUUCCUUCCAGCUGUGGUGAGGCCUAUACUGGAUUCAUAUGGAACAUCCAACCAAGGACCCAAGACUUGUAUGAGUGAUAUAGUUGCUACUAUGAUUGAGAAAAAGAGAUAAAUGUCAGAUUCGGAUGUCAUUCUGCAGCUUCAUGAGAAAAAAAUUAACUCAAAUCUGUAUGUUCCAUAAAUGUUACUACUAUUUUUUACAAUUACAUUCUACAUUGUAAAAGCACGAGAAGACUUGUAUGCGAAUUUUCAAGGUUUCAGUCACAUAAUUCGUUGUAUGAUCUUUUUUCUGUUGUUCUUGCUGCCAACUGGCUUUGUUCUGUAUGAAAUCUUGUGUUGCUUUUUAAUGUAAAAUCAUACUCCACAUUGCUUA